GUCCUUCAAGAUAAUAUGGAUUUCAGAAUAUUUCCUAAUGGCUAUUUUGCCGGUACCGGGAGUAUCUCAUUUUUUUCCUCUUGUGAGGAGUAAGAUUAAGUCUCUUAUACUACAUGACCUAUAAUGCACAUCUAAUUGAUGCUUGGGGUGCGGUGCUUUUAUAUAUGGUCAUUGUUUUCUAGUAGGUUUGAUGUACCGGUCAUUUCUUCUUCCACUACCGUGAGCUUUUCUCUUGCUCAUUAUAUCUUCUUCAGUAGGUCAAUGUGCAAAGAUUGCUCUAUAGUCUAUCGCUUUUCUUGAUUUUAAGGAAUUUAGUUCCAUCUUUUAGUGAAAUAUUUGUCCUCAUGAUCGUCAAUAGUGCUAAACCAGUCACAUCAUUCAUUAGUUUUGACUAAAUCUUGAAUCAUUCCGUGAUACUCGCCGGGCAUUACUAGAGUGCCACCUGCCAUUCUAAUUACUUAAAACUAAGGUAACUGACUUGCGAAUGCAAAUUAAAAAGGUGUGCUUUUCCUAUUAGCACAUUUUAUUUUUUUCUGUGGAACUAGAAGCCAAAAAAUAGCUCUAACUCCAUGUGUUUAUGCGGCUUUAUCCAUGUUCCAUUUUCUUUGUAGGUUCUAUCAGUUAUGCGGGGGAAUGGACUGCUUCUUCGACUGCCUUCUUCAACAUCAAAAUGGCAGAAUCUUACACUGCAUACACCAUUUAGUAAAUUUAAGGUCCAGGGGAUUGCAAACUUGCUAGAAAGUUCGCCCCACUUGGAAAAGUUUAUUGUACACACAGGACCAGCAUCUUUAAAUUUGAGGUUGGCAAGGAAUUUCUGGACUUUUUGUCUUUGAUGAAGAGAAAUUUUGGCGUUCACAAAAGAAGUUUCCAUGUGUGGCAAAUCAUCUUAGUAGUAUUGAUAUUGUUGGGUUCAGUUCCGAUUGUUUUGGCUUGAAAAAUGUGCUUUCCCUGCUUAUGUUUCUUCUCGAGGAGACAAUUGUGCUAAGAGAAGAUGACCAUCAACGGUGAGGUGCCCAAAGUUGAUCCGGAGGUACCUACAGAAGCAAUUAGCUCUUGGAUUCUGCUUGGAGUGACCGAACUUUUAGCCUGCCACCCAAAAGCUUCAAAAAAAGCUGAACUUAUAGUUAAUUAUCCUUCCAAGGGAAGCCCUGCCAAAAGCGUAUACAAGUUUUGAGUUCAUAGAUUUUAUUUGGAUAUGUGCGGCUUGCUGAAGCGACAAAUCUGCUUGUUCCUAUUCGCUCAUUCUUGACAGCACCGGAGCUGUGGGAGUUAUGGCGGUAUACUCUUAUUUGCAAAUAUGCUUAUUUUACCUUUCUUUCUUAAGUUGUCUAGUUGAAAUUCUUUGGACCACUUAAUUUAAACAGUGUAAUAUUGCCGUUUCGGGUGA